GACGUAGGUGGCAAGCGUUAUCCGGAUUCACUGGGCGUAAAGCGCACGCAGGCGGUGGGGUAGGUAGGGCAUGAAAGCGCCUGGCUUAACUGGGCGAGGUUGUCCUAUACCACCUCACUUGAGGACAGGAGAGGGACGUGGAACUGCCGGUGUAGUGGUGAAAUGCGUAGAGAUCGGCAAGAACACCAGUGGCGAAGGCGGCGUCCUGGCCUGGUCCUGACGCUCAGGUGCGACAGCUAGGGGAGCGAACGGG
rnacentral:rRNA from 1 species